GGACUUGUAGCUCAAAGGUAGAGCACUUGGCUGUUAACCAAGGGGUUCAUGGUUCGAAUCCAUGUAAGUCCG
rnacentral:tRNA from 1 species